rnacentral:rRNA from 1 species
UACAGAGGGUGCGAGCGUUAAUCGGAUUUACUGGGCGUAAAGCGUGUGUAGGUGGCUUCCUAAGUCGGUUGUGAAAUCCCUGGGCUCAACCCAGGAACUGCGUCCGAUGACUGGAAGGCUUGAAUCCGGGAGAGGGAUGCGGAAUUCCGAGGUGUAGCGGUGAAAUGCGUAGAUAUCUGGAGGAACACCGGUGGCGAAGGCGGCAUCCUGGACCGGCAUUGACGCUGAGGCGCGGAAAGCUAGGGUA